UACGUAGGGAGCAAGCGUUGUCCGGAAUCAUUGGGCGUAAAGCGCGCGUAGGUGGCCAUGUAAGUCCGCUGUGAAAGUCAAAGGCUCAACCUUUGAAAGCCGGUGGAUACUGCACGGCUAGAGUUCGGCAGGGGAGACUGGAAUCCUGGUGUAGCGGUGAAAUGCGUAGAUAUCAGGAGGAACACCGUGGUCGGCGAAAGGCGGGC
rnacentral:rRNA from 1 species